rnacentral:rRNA from 1 species
AUGGUUAGAGGGUUAGCAGGUGUCCCGUCCAUGAAGACGAUGAACAACCACAUUGUCAGGCCAAUACCGCGAGUACAGGAUGGGGCCACUCGGGCUUGUGCGGCAGUUCAUGUCGGGCUAACCGGUCGGCAGUCCAACACCAAUCUAGGAGUGCGAGCCAAAGGAAGAUUUUGCUAUGAAUUGGUUGGACUUAAGAGGAGUGUACGUGCUUGUGUUCUCGACUGGAUUCGAGUAGUGCGUUCUCUUCUGUACUGCUGCAAUGACGAAAAUGACAAUUUUGAGAUGAAUUGCAGAGUUCAUGUUUGGUUCAACAAAAGCAGACUAGAUGUUGAGGGGAAAAAUGCAUGCAGGAAAUCAUAUGCGGAUGCUCGGGUAAGGCGAAGAAUACAAACACCAGAUCAUGCAGGUGUGAAUGUCCCGCCAGGAUACAGCUGCAGCAUUCAGACCAGUAUGGCCAGUACACUAGUGAACACAUGCCGGGCCAUAAUCACACUCUUACCGACAAGUGUUGCGAGAAGAUGCACAUUGACGUGUAUGCAUAGAACCUCAUACGGCAGUUGUGCGACAACAAUGUAA